rnacentral:snoRNA from 1 species
AACCCAUGAUGAGGACUACCUUCUCAAAAUAUCCUUAAAUCUCUCCUAUGCAUCAUAUAAUGUCUCCAACUCAAUUUAAGCAAAAGAAGAGAUGUUCCACAUCUGAUGUG